UACACGACUCUCGGCAACGGAUAUCUAGGCUCUCGCAUCGAUGAAGAACGUAGCAAACUGCGAUACUUGGUGUGAAUUGCAGAAUCCCGUGAACCAUCGAGUCUUUGAACGCAAGUUGCGCCCCAAGCCAUUAGGCCGAGGGCACGUCUGCCUGGGCGUCACGC
rnacentral:rRNA from 1 species